CAUGUUCAGUUGAGGAAGCCAGGAAGUGAAUUCCUCCCUAAGAGACCAGCACCAGUCCUGCACUCUUGUUCCUCGACCAGUUUGAAGAGUUUGUCUAGCGCUUCCGCAGCAAGGACUUAAUCAGACUGCGCCAGAAUACAGAUGCUUGCUUACAGAUUGUAUAUUGGGUACCAAGUUUGAAAACAGACUCACUCCCAAAGCAUAGUAUUCUGUUAUACAAGUACUCAGUCACUAGUCAAAUGAUCGCUAGUCAUUAGCUUUCUCUUGCAAACAACAGCAAACCGAGGCUCUGGGACCCGCAACGCGAAGAAAACCAGGAAGGGCUGAGGGGGACGCCCAAGGACAAUGAGAAACAAAGCUGGGACGCUGAGGGCCGGCAGGCCAGAAAAAACGGCCGCGCUGUGCUGACCUCCGACCUCCUUCCCCAGGACUGAAUCUCCAAGGUCACACCUGGCGCUCCUGCUCGCAGGGAGCACGAAGGACCAACCGUACAAGUCCCAUGGAGUCGGCUGCAUCUGAGGCCCUGGGCGAACCGGCCUCCUUGAGGGCCGAGGCCGCGAGUCGGGAGCUCGCAGCUUCUUCCCCAGAGUCGGCCUGGCCUUCCAGCUCCGCGCGCGCGUGGGGCCUGGAAGCCGCGCCGUGGGUCCGGGCUCCCUGCUUUCCUUCCUUCCAGGGUGAGCUCACUUCCUCCGGCGCCGCUCCAUUCUCCGCGGCGAGAAGCCGCUCCGGCCUCCGGCGGCUGCCCGGCGGGCACUGGUUCCCGGCGGGGCCUUCCCCUCGCUCCUUUCCCGGCCUAGGGGCUGUUGGCCCCCGCCUUGGGGCGCGGUGGAAUUCCUCGCGGAAGAAAGCGGAAGUCGAAGAAACCUCAGAACUCAGAGGCAGCGGCUCCUGGCAGCACCCGCUGAAGGCCAGGCCUACGUUCCUCUAGAUGCCCAUUUGACUCUGGGCCAGGGCCCGAGGCUCUUUUCUUUCUUUCUUUCUUCCUUUCUGCCCCGCCCCCUUUCACCCUGUUUCUCACUUUAGCUCAUUCGUGUUUUUAAAAUUCAUAUUAAAAAGAGCAAUUUCGCG
rnacentral:lncRNA from 1 species